UCGCGAAAACUUGUCAAUGGGGGAAACCCCGAACAGGGGAGUCCAAGUGCAUACAGCCGAAGUAAGGGCUGGGUAAGACAGGUGCCAGCCGCCGCGGUAAUACCUGCAGCCCAAGUGGUGACCAUUAUUAUUGAGCCUAAAGCGUCCGUAGCCGGUUUGGUAAAUCCUCGGGUAAAUCGAGCAGCUUAACUGUUCGAACACCGGGGAGACUGCCAGACUUGGGACCGGGAGAGGUCAGAGGUACUCCAGGGGUAGGGGCUAAAUCCUGUAAUCCUUGGAGGACCACCAGUGGCGAAGGCGUCUGACUAGAACGGAUCCGACGGUAAGGGACGAAACCCUGGGGCGCAAACCGGAUUAGAUACCCGGGUAGUCCAGGGCGUAAACGCUGCAGGCUUGGUGUUGGGGACCCUACGGGGGUGCUCAGUGCCGGAGUGAAGAUGUUAAGCCUGCCGCUUGGGGAGUACGUCCGCAAGGAUGAAACUUAAAGGAAUUGGCGGGAGAGCACGCAACGGGAGGAGCGUGCGGUUCAAUUGGAUUCAACGCCGUAAAACUCACCGGGAGCGACGAUACAUGAAGGUCAGGCCGACGACUUUACCUGAUUUUUCGAGAAGUGGUGCAUGGCC
rnacentral:rRNA from 1 species